GACGAACGCUGGCGGCGUGCUUAACACAUGCAAGUCGAACGGAAAGGCCCUGCUUUUGUGGGGUGCUCGAGUGGCGAACGGGUGAGUAACACGUGAGUAACCUGCCCUUGACUUUGGGAUAACUUCAGGAAACUGGGGCUAAUACCGGAUAGGAGCUCCUGCUGCAUGGUGGGGGUUGGAAAGUUUCGGCGGUUGGGGAUGGACUCGCGGCUUAUCAGCUUGUUGGUGGGGUAGUGGCUUACCAAGGCUUUGACGGGUAGCCGGCCUGAGAGGGUGACCGGCCACAUUGGGACUGAGAUACGGCCCAGACUCCUACGGUAGGCAGCAGUGGGGAAUAUUGCACAAUGGGCGGAAGCCUGAUGCAGCAACGCCGCGUGCGGGAUGACGUCCUUCGGGUUGUAAACCACUUUCGCCUGUGACGAAGCGUGAGUGACGGUAAUGGGUAAAGAAGCACCGGCUAACUACGUG
rnacentral:rRNA from 1 species